rnacentral:rRNA from 1 species
GCAGGGGAUCGCAAGACCUUGCGCUGAUUGAGCGGCCGAUAUCAGAUUAGCUUGUUGGUGAGGUGAAAGCUCACCAAGGCGACGAUCUGUAGCGGGUCUGAGAGGAUGAUCCGCCACACUGGAACUGAGACACGGUCCAGACUCCUACGGGAGGCAGCAGUGGGGAAUUUUGGACAAUGGGGGCAACCCUGAUCCAGCCAUGCCGCGUGAGUGAAGAAGGCCUUCGGGUUGUAAAGCUCUUUCAGCCGGGAAGAAAACGCAUGGGUUAAUACCCUGUGUGGACGACGGUACCGGAAUAAGAAGCACCGGCUAACUACGUGCCAGCAGCCGCGGUAAUACGUAGGGUGCGAGCGUUAAUCGGAAUUACUGGGCGUAAAGCGUGCGCAGGCGGUUUUGUAAGACAGGCGUGAAAUCCCCGGGCUUAACCUGGGAACUGCGUUUGUGACUGCAAGGCUAGAGUACGGCAGAGGGGGGUGGAAUUCCACGUGUAGCAGUGAAAUGCGUAGAGAUGUGGAGGAACACCAAUGGCGAAGGCAGCCCCCUGGGUCGAUACUGACGCUCAUGCACGAAAGCGUGGGUAGCAAACAGGAUUAGAUACCCUGGUAGUCCACGCCCUAAACGAUGUCAACUAGGUGUUGGGAGGGUAAAACCUUUUAGUACCGGAGCUAACGCGUGAAGUUGACCGCCUGGGGAGUACGGCCGCAAGGUUAAAACUCAAAGGGAUUGACGGGGACCCGCACAAGCGGUGGAUGAUGUGGAUUAAUUCGAUGCAACGCGAAAAACCUUACCUACCCUUGACAUGCCAAGAACUUUCCAGAGAUGGAUUGGUGCCCGAAAGGGAACUUGGACACAGGUGCUGCAUGGCUGUCGUCAGCUCGUGUCGUGAGAUGUUGGGUUAAGUCCCGCAACUAGCGCAACCCUUGUCGUUAAUUGCCAUCAUUUAGUUGGGCACUUUAACGAGACUGCCGGUGACAAACCGGAGGAAGGUGGGGAUGACGUCAAGUCCUCAUGGCCCUUAUGGGUAGGGCUUCACACGUCAUACAAUGGUCGGUACAAAGGGUCGCCAAGCCGCGAGGUGGAGCCAAUCCCAGAAAGCCGAUCGUAGUCCGGAUCGCAGUCUGCAACUCGACUGCGUGAAGUCGGAAUCGCUAGUAAUCGUGGAUCAGAAUGUCACGGUGAAUACGUUCCCGGGUCUUGUACACACCGCCCGUCACACCAUGGGAGCGGGUUCCGCCAGAAGUAGGUAGCCUAACCGCAAGGAGAGCGCUUACCACGGCGGGGUUCGUGACUGGGAUGAAGUCGGAACAAGGUA